GGGGGCAUAGCUCGGCGGUAGAGCACUCGAUUGCAGAUCGGUCGGUCCCUGGUUCAACUCCUGGUGUUCCCU
rnacentral:tRNA from 1 species